UGGACGCGGGGCGGGUGGGCCCUGGCGCGCGGAGCCAGGAGUCCGGGCCUCCUGGCUUCUGAGCGUCCCCCGAAGCCUCCCCCCUACCCCCGCUUCCCCUCCUAGGAGCCCUGCCGACCCCCACCCCGGGGCUCCAGCCUCGGCUCCCGCCCUCCUCUGACUCCCUGGACCUCCCCCUCCCUCCCGCCCUCGGGAUCGACUAGAUCCCUCCCCCUCCCCGAGGAUUCCGGCUGGAUCCCUGCCCCUGCACCGCGGAUCCUGCGCUCCCGGGCUCCGGGCCCCUGGGGAUUGCCGUGGACACCUCCUCCCGCACCCGAUCCCUUAGGAUCUUCCGCCGGUACCACCUUCUGGUCCCUCGAAGCCAGCCCACGGAGCCAGUGGAUUCCCAAUCCAGUCCUUUCUCGUUGCCCCCUCUUCGCUCCGCCGGCCCCACUGCGGGGUUCCCUGUUCUCAGGUUCCUCCUGACCCCAUCCCCUACCUCUCCUUUCCCCGGGGAUCGACUGGGUCCCGGCCCCGCCCCCCGGGGCUGGGGCGAUCCCCCUCCCCCGCCCGGUGAGGCGCUGCGGGCGGGGGCUGGGCCUGCGGGGCCGCGGGGGCUCAGAGGCCGCCGCCCCCCUCCCGAAGCCCGUCCGCCCCCUACUCGGAGCCCUGGAUGGAGGCACCACGGCCCCAGGGCUGAGCCAGACCCCCUCCAGGGUUAAAGCUGCAGCCAGUUGCCGAGGUAACAUUGCGGGGCAGCAUCCCGUCGCCCAGCAACCGGCUGCAGGAUCACGCAUCUGUCCCGGAUUUGCCCCUCCAGCAGCAUCCCCUCCCUACUCCAGCCCCUGCCUCAAGGCACCUUAACUUCUGAUGGAAGAAAUGAGGAAGACCUAGGGGAAAGGGGUCCCCCCUCCCCUGCUGCACAGAUCCGUAGGGAAUGGGCUGCUGAAGGGAGGAAAAGGUCGGGCCUGCCUUCACCUUCUCCCGCUUCCUUCCCCUUCCCCACCCCUUGCCCCCUCCAUGGAGAGGAACAGACCCCUUCUCGGUCCAGUCUAACCCAGGUCCCUCCCCACCCCCCUCC